rnacentral:rRNA from 1 species
UCCUACGGGGGGCAGCAGUCGGGAAUAUUGCGCAAUGGAGGAAACUCUGACGCAGUGACGCCGCGUAUAGGAAGAAGGUUUUCGGAUUGUAAACUAUUGUCGAUAGGGAAGAAAAAAGACUGUACCUAUCAAGAAAGCUCCGGCUAACUACGUGCCAGCAGCCGCGGUAAUACGUAGGGGGCAAGCGUUAUCCGGAAUCACUGGGUGUAAAGGGAGCGUAGACGGCUGAGCAAGCCUGAAGUGAAAGGCAGGGGCCCAACCCCUGGACUGCUUUGGGAACUGUACGGCUGGAGUGCAGGAGAGGG